UCCGGGUUGGACCCGGCGGUCCCGCCAGACAUGGUAACUGGCAGCGAGGGUUGCGCUCGUUGCGGGACUUAACCCAACACCUCACGGCACGAGCUGACGACAGCCGUGCAGCACCUGCGCACGCUCCCUUGCGGGUCCCCUCGGUUUCCCUCGGGUACCACGUGCAUGUCAAGCCCGGGUAAGGUUCUUCGCGUUGCAUCGAAUUAAACCACACGCUCCGCUGCUUGUGCGGGCCCCCGUCAAUUCCUUUGAGUUUUAACCUUGCGGUCGUAAUCCCCAGGCGGGGUGCUUAAUGCGUUAGCUGCGGCGCGGAGGGAGUGGAUAACCCCCCACACCUAGCACCCAUCGUUUACGGCGUGGACUAC
rnacentral:misc_RNA from 1 species